GUGAAUUUUUCCUAAAAGAGAUCAGAAGACUUGGAAAAUAGAGAAGGAGAACUUGUGAUCAUCUUUUUGUCAUUUGAGUCCAGCAUCAUUCACGUUCACCGUCAUCAUUCAGAAGAGCAGCAGGAGCACUGUGGAUCAGACGUGUCCACUCAGUGUCCUUCAGGUUACUCUGAAAUCAUAGUGCCCUCACAGAAACUCAACUCAGUACAUCGUGGUAGAGAUUCUGGAGGUUCAGUCAUAUGGAUAAAAAAUGACCUUUCCCCUUUUACAUCACCAGUACAGCAAGACAAAAACACAUUUGGUUAAAAUUGGACAAAAGCUUUGGAAUUCUAGAUAAAGACCUUUUUAUCUGUGGAUUCCCCAUACUACCACCAUGAAGUAUUCCACACUUUACAAGAAGAAAUUAAUCAAUAUCAAACUCUCGGGAAAACUUUAUUCAUGUGGAGAUUUAAAUGCUCCCUUUACAUCACCAGUACAGCAAGACAAAACACAUUGGUAAAUUGGACAAAGCUUUGGAAUUCUAGAUAAAGACCUUUUUAUCUGUGGAUUCCCCAUACUACCACCAUGAAGUAUUCCACACUUUACAAGAAGAAAUUAAUCAAUAUCAAACUCUCGGGAAAACUUUAUCAUGUGGAGAUUUAAAUGCUCGAACUGGUUCAGAAUUAGACUAUAUUGAUAAUUCAGGAGAUAAACAUCUGUUCACACAUAUACCCCAAGAUCUCUUCAGUACUCUACCUAGAAGAAAUAACCAGGAUACUGGAGUCAGUAGACACGGGAAAGAGGUAGCCCACCUGCGUCAAACUUUAGGUCUUUAUAUCCUCAAUGGUAGAAUCAAAGGAGAUUCCUGUGGACAAUUUACAUAUAGCUCAGAUCUCGGGAACAGUGUUGUAGAUUAUGCUAUAUCAAAUAUAAGCCCUUCCCAUUUCAGUGCAUUUACCGUCAAAGCUCAGUCGCCCCUGUCUGAUCACAGCCAGAUCAAUCUCUUCAUUAAAGGGGAGUAG
rnacentral:lncRNA from 1 species